CGUAGGGGCGAAGCGUUGUCCGGAUUUAUUGGGCGUAAAGAGCGUGUAGGCGGCCAGACAGGUCCGUUGUGAAACUAGAGGCUUAACCUCUAGACGUCGAUGGAAACCGUCAGGCUAGAGUCCGGAAGAGGAGAAUGGAAUUCCUGGUGUAGCGGUGAAAUGCGCAGAUAUCAGGAAGAACACCCGUGGCUAAGGCGGUUCUCUAGUACGGUACUGACGCUGAGACGCGAAAGCGUGGGGAGCGAACAGGAUUAGAUACCCUGGUAGUCCACGCCGUAAACGAUGGGUGCUAGGUGUGGGGGGUGUCGACUCCCUCCGUGCCGAAGCUAACGCAUUAAGCACCCCGCCUGGGGAGUACGGCCGCAAGGCUA
rnacentral:rRNA from 1 species